GACGAAGGAUGCAAGCGUUAUCCGGAUUCAUUGGGUUUAAAGGGAGCGUAGGUGGCCUUAUAAGUCAGUGGUGAAAUCUCUCGGCUUAACUGAGAAAUUGCCAUUGAUACUGUAGGGCUUGAGUACAGUUGCUGUGGGCGGAAUAUGACAUGUAGUGGUGAAAUACAUAGAGAUGUCAUAGAACACCGAUUGCGAAGGCAGCUGACGAAACUAUAACUGACACUGAGGCUCGAAAGUGCGGGGAUCAAACAGG
rnacentral:rRNA from 1 species